rnacentral:lncRNA from 1 species
GAUGACCCAAGAUUUGUAAGAACAUAGCCACUUGUUCGGGUAUUUGGACAUUUCUUGUUGGAAGAAGACCACCAAGAUGUUCAAGAAGGUAACAAAAACGUUUAAAGGUGUCCAAGUUCAUUCUAAGAUUAUCAUGACAUGUCACAUUAUUAAAACUCAGAAGGUCAUUCAAAUUAUUCAUUUGAGAUGGUGCUUUAGCAAUCAAACUAUAUGAUCUCGGA